UUCUACAACACGAUCUCUAAUAUAAAUGACAGUAAACAUAUAGUAUAUGGACUUAAAACAAGGGACUGAUCCGAGUGAUACUCUUCACAAGCUAACCUGCAACUUAUAUACAUAUAUACACCAAGGAAAUGUGACCUAUCUGGAACCUUCAAUACUGCACUAGAGACCUCAUGGCGUCAGCUAAAGUCCUCUGAUGGUCCCUUGUGCCUAAUUUGUUGCGUUUGCUGGCCAUUCGCAGAUGAGGGUGGCAUGUUGAGCUGGUGCUGAUGAUGGUGGUUUUGAGAAAUGUUGAAAUGGCCUAAUGGUGGUGACUGGGAGAAUUAUGUUGGAGGCCGUCCUAUCUGCCGACUGCCGUAACGUAGAUGAUGUUACCAUUCAAAGCUUGAAGUUCUCCUGUAGCUAUCUUAAGCCUCUGCACUUCCUCCGGGCCUUAAGGUUUCAUUUAAAGCUGUUAAAGUACACCAGCGAAAGAACAUAUCUUAAGUCUUAAGCCUUUACCAGGCUAAAAUUUGAAACCUACAAAAAAUAAAAAUCUCUAGCAAAAAAUAAACUUUCAGUCCUACGUACAAAACAUGCAUACCGGCGCGACAAUGUGCUUGCUGUGUGAUGGCUUGCAAGCAACCACAAUUUGAGUUAGGAGUAGUUGUACGUCUUCAGCAGUCAAACCAGUAGUGUCUCUUUGUACAACACACACAUGCUGGAAACUUGAGGGCUUUUCAUUGGCCGAUGUAGUAAAUGGAAAUAAAAACCAACUACCAUGCCUGUAAAGAUCAAAUGUUUGAAAAUAGUGUUGAUAUGCGGUAGACAUAAGCAGCAAGUCAAUGAGACAUGCACACAUACAAUAUGAACCCAGUGUUAGAGAUAAUGUAAGCAACCUUAGCUUUGCAUCAGGAACUGUUACGACCAGCCAUGCAAGUUGUCUCUGCUUAACUAUGAGAUCAAGUCAAUCAAACCACAAUAUUGCAAACAGAUUGGUUUUCCUCAAUCAUGAGAGUGUACUUGUAGAUUAGAGUAAAAGUAAAAAUUGAAUGGUUAAAGCAAACUGCAUCCAGGGCUUGCGGAUGGUCAGCCUGUCUAACCAAAUGGCACCGGUGGCAGUACAUAAAUUAUACUUAUGGACUUAUGGUUGAAUUAAGCUGUGGUUCAAAAUGUGUAUACUUGGCAAAACAGUAACCCCUAAACAAGUUUGGUUACAAUAUAUUCUACAGUGAUUAUUUAGGGUGCAACGGUUGGACAAUAACGUUUGGUCCAUGGUUCAAUAAUUUUAGAAAUGGCAAGCCAGAUUGAGAGGGCUCUACCCCUUAAAUUAAGUGAGGAAACUUCAGAUGUUGGCGUGUUUCUAACCCACCUCUCCUCUUAAUUAGAAGGAUACAUCUGUUGAGUCACAGGCUCAUAUAUUUCUAUCCAUAGUUUAAAAUUUCAUUAAAUUUCGCAAAAUCUCGAUGGCAUAUACCGAUAUUUGAGAAUUUGGUACCACGAAAUCUCGUAAAAUUUCGUAAAUCUUGACUUACAUUGUGAUUUUCAGUGUUAGAAUCUCGGUAUGUUGUUAUUCUAGAAAACAAAAUUUCGCUCGAAAUCAAAAUUUUAAACUAUGUUUCUAUGUAAAAUUUUGGUGAAGAUAUAGUAAACAUUCAUCUUACACAAAAUCAUACCAAAUU
rnacentral:lncRNA from 1 species